UCCCACUGUACCGAUCCAUCAGUCUUCAUUUCAAUAACCGGUACUGCCAACAAACUCACUAUGAAAGUUCUCCUACUGUUGUUGCUGGCUUCAGCCAGUACGGUUUUUGGCAAAUCUUUAGCGGCUUCCAAUCUACUGCUCGCGGACGAGGGCACUGCAAAUUUUGACAUCGAUCAGUCGAAUUUUGAUUUAAGGUUUUCAAGGACCCCGAACGAUCAUGAUGAAUUGGACGACAAUGGUUCGGAACUAUACCAAUACACGAUCGAAGAAUCUAGCGAAGCUGAUUUGGCUGUGUUCCCUGAGACUGAAGAAGAUCAAUCAUCGAAUUAUGACCACGGAGAACAGGAUGAGCAUUUUCAAUCAAGCGACGAAUGGCUUCAACGUAUGAAUGACGAUUACGAUUGGAAUGUUGAGAAUCGGUUAAGAGAUUCGGGAGAACAAGGCCACUAUAAUAGAUACGAAUAUCCCCGUUAUGACUACAACCCACUCAAGUGGCCCGCUCAAGAAGACCCAAUAGUCGUUCAACCCAUCGUCAUUCCUGUGCAAUUUACUUUCGGUCAACAGGAUUACUUUCGACGUCGUUUUAUGUACUAACCGGUUUGAUUUCAUUUGAAAGUUGGUAAUUAUAUUGAUGAAAAAAAAAUCUAUCACUUAAAUUUGAUGAUUGCGUACAGCUGAAAAUAAAUAAAUUAAAUUUGCAAUUACA